UAAGUUACAACUUGGUAAGACCCGAUGAAAAACACUAUUAUAGGUUCUAUUUUGAUAUUGGAAUAAGUAUUCUGUGACAUCUUAUUCGAUGUAGGAUUUUCGUUUGUGAUCGAAAGUUAGAAGUUUAAUUUCUUUCUUAAAAAAAAAAUCUUGGCAUUUAUGAUUGGGUAGAAUAACAUAAUUUCCCUACGAGCGGAAUCCUAUUUCUAGAAAAUAACUUGAAGAUAAAUUAUGAUAUUCCGACUCAGACAUUUAAUCACACUUUUCAUCUAUGAAAAAUUACAGGCUAGCUUUUUAAAUAAAUUAAAAAUCUAUGACAAAUUAAAUAUUCAUGCAUCACAACAUGACUAAUCUUUUUUUGAUUUACUCAAGAAACUUGCAAUAUUUGGUAGAUAAAAUGUGUGAUCAAAUAUUUAAAAUAAAAUAGCGUAUUUGACUAUCAAAUUAUUUUUUCAGAAUAUGAUAAAUAAUACUCUUUUAACACAGUUUGUCGAAAUCUACAACAAGAUAAGCUUUACAGUCACCCUUUCACAAAUUACACGUAUAUAAUUUGUGUAUAUCUUUUAAAAUGAAAAAAAAAA
rnacentral:lncRNA from 1 species